AUGGACACUCUACGAGGGAUACUGACAGCGGCCGGAGUUGCAGCUUUAGCUGCAGCGGCCAGUGGAUCGCUUUACUAUCUGUACCGAUCCAGAGCUCAGAAGCCGACGACGACGGAGAAGGAGACCGCGGUCACUCCCGUGGAAGGAGACCCUGAAACGGUGAAGGAGACGCAGGCUGAAGCCGAGGCGAUGGCCCCUCUCGUUAUGGAUGAGGCAUCAGAAGCUGCCAGUCUGCUACCGGUCACUGACCUAGCAGAGACAGCGGAAGCUGAGGUGACCGAAUUUCCUGAGAUUUGUGAGAGUGUGGUGGAAACACUGGUUGAAGAUGGAGGAGUUACCAGCCCCCAAGAGGAAGAUCAGGCCACUCUCGUUAUGGAUGAGGCAUCAGAAGCUGCCAGUCUGCUACCGGUCACUGACCUAGCAGAGACAGAGGAAGCUGAGGUGACUGAAUUUACUGAGAUUUGUGAGAGUGUGGUGGAAACACUGGUUGAAGAUGGAGGAGUUACCAGCCCCCAAGAGGAAGAUCAGGCCACUCUCGUUAUGGAUGAGGCAUCAGAAGCUGCCAGUCUGCUACUAGACACUGACCUAGCAGAGACAGAGGAAGCUGAGGUGACCGAAUUUCCUGAGAUUUGUGAGAGUGUGGUGGAAACACUGGUGGAAGAUGGAGAAGUUACCGGCCCCCAAGAGGAAGAUCAGGCCUCUCCUAUUAUGGAUGAGGCACCAGAAGCUGCCAGUCUGCUACUGGACACUGACCUAGCAGAGACAGAGGAAGCUGAGGUGAUUAUGGAGCCUGAACUCUGUGACAGUGUGAUGGAAAAAGUGGAGGAAGAUGAAGGAGUAGAGGUGGAGUGGUUGAGACCCCCAGAGGAAGAAGAUGAGACAAAGGCCCAACCUCUCCCCAGUGUGUAUCUGAUCAACAGACACUGGUGUUUAUAUAUAGCUGAACCCAAAGAGCAGCGUCAGCCAAGACGAAAAACACGGGAAACAGUGGUGCGAGAUGGAGAAGUUGCUCCAAGCUGCCCCCAAAUGGAAGAUCAGGCAUCAGAAGCUCCCAUCCUGCUAAUGGACUCUGAUCUAGCAGAGACUAAAGAAGCCAAGGCGAAGGCUGAUGAUGAGCAACCUCUCACCUCUGUGGAUCAGUCUUCAAUUGAAGCUGAACCCAAAAAGAAACAGAGGAGACGAGGAACACGAGGAAGGGGGCGAAAAAUCAACUAUAAGAAGGACAAAGGAGAGGAAGGAAAAUAA
rnacentral:lncRNA from 1 species